AAAAACAUAGCCUUUAGCAUCACAAGUAUUAAAGGUCUCGCCUGCCCAGUGAACAAUUAAACGGCCGCGGUAUCCUAACCGUGCAAAGGUAGCGUAAUCAUUUGUCCCCUAAAUAGGGACUCGCAUGAACGGCUAACUGAGGUUCUAACUGUCUCAUUAGACCAAUCAAUGAAACUGAUCUUUCAGUUCAAAAGCUGAAAUAAGAACAUAAGACGAGAAGACCCUGUGGAGCUUUAAAUCUACACUAUAAACCCACCCAACCCCCGAUAGGCACACACUUCAACCUUAAACCAUAGUAAAAUUUUUAGUUGGGGCGACUUUGGAACCCAAAAAAACUUCCAUGCCAGGGACCCACCCUAUCUAGGCAAACACGCCAAAACAACUUCUUAUUGACCCAGCCCUGCUGAGCAACGAACCAAGUUACCCCAGGGAUAACAGCGCCAUCCUCUUCAAGAGUCCCUAUCGACAAGAGGGUUUACGACCUCGAUGUUGGAUCAGGACCCCCAGGUGGUGUAACCGCUACCAAAGGUUCGUUUGUUCAACGAUUAAAGU
rnacentral:rRNA from 1 species